UUGGCAUUAGAAUUUUUCUAGUUAAUUCUAUUUUCCUUUUUUUUUUGGCUUAAACUUUUGAAAAACUGUGGCUGUAGUUUUUUUUCGGUGGUUUUUGUGUUUGUUUUAUUUGUGUGUGUGUGUGUGUGUGUGGUUUUUUUAACAGAUGUAUAUACUGUAGUUUACAUGUACUAUACCUGUUGUGUUUGCUCCUGCGUUCAUAUGUUGACUGACACUUACUUACGUCUUAUGAUGAAUAACUGUCAAAUUUGGCAAACAAAUCACACUCGCUUUCGUUUAUAGUUG
rnacentral:lncRNA from 1 species